ACUGCUACGAGUGGUACUAGUAGCACUUGUAUUACUACGAGUAGUACUAGUAGUACUUGUACUACUAUGAGUAGUUCGAGUAUUCUUAGUGGUAC
rnacentral:tRNA from 1 species